rnacentral:rRNA from 2 species
UUCACGGAGAGUUUGAUCCUGGCUCAGGACGAACGCUGGCGGCGUGCUUAACACAUGCAAGUCGAACGAUGAACCACUUCGGUGGGGAUUAGUGGCGAACGGGUGAGUAACACGUGGGCAAUCUGCCCUGCACUCUGGGACAAGCCCUGGAAACGGGGUCUAAUACCGGAUACUGACCCUCGCAGGCAUCUGCGAGGUUCGAAAGCUCCGGCGGUGCAGGAUGAGCCCGCGGCCUAUCAGCUUGUUGGUGAGGUAAUGGCUCACCAAGGCGACGACGGGUAGCCGGCCUGAGAGGGCGACCGGCCACACUGGGACUGAGACACGGCCCAGACUCCUACGGGAGGCAGCAGUGGGGAAUAUUGCACAAUGGGCGAAAGCCUGAUGCAGCGACGCCGCGUGAGGGAUGACGGCCUUCGGGUUGUAAACCUCUUUCAGCAGGGAAGAAGCGAAAGUGACGGUACCUGCAGAAGAAGCGCCGGCUAACUACGUGCCAGCAGCCGCGGUAAUACGUAGGGCGCGAGCGUUGUCCGGAAUUAUUGGGCGUAAAGAGCUCGUAGGCGGCUUGUCACGUCGGUUGUGAAAGCCCGGGGCUUAACCCCGGGUCUGCAGUCGAUACGGGCAGGCUAGAGUUCGGUAGGGGAGAUCGGAAUUCCUGGUGUAGCGGUGAAAUGCGCAGAUAUCAGGAGGAACACCGGUGGCGAAGGCGGAUCUCUGGGCCGAUACUGACGCUGAGGAGCGAAAGCGUGGGGAGCGAACAGGAUUAGAUACCCUGGUAGUCCACGCCGUAAACGGUGGGCACUAGGUGUGGGCGACAUUCCACGUCGUCCG